rnacentral:siRNA from 1 species
CGAUUAGGUUAUUGGCCCGUC